rnacentral:rRNA from 1 species
GACGAACGCUGGCGGCGUGCUUAACACAUGCAAGUCGAGCGGUAAGGCCCUUUCGGGGGUACGACGAGCGGCGAACGGGUGAGUAACACGUGGGUGACCUGCCCUCAGCUCUGGGAUAAGCCUGGGAAACCGGGGUCUAAUACCGGAUAUGACUCCAUGACGCAUGUUGUGGGGUGGAAAGCCUUGUGCGGCUGAGGAUGGGCCCGCGGCCUAUCAGCUUGUUGGUGGGGUGAUGGCCUACCAAGGCGACGACGGUAGCCGGCCUGAGAGGGCGACCGGCCACACUGGGACUGAGACACGGCCCAGACUCCUACGGGAGGCAGCAGUGGGGAAUCUUGCGCAAUGGGCGAAAGCCUGACGCAGCGACGCCGCGUGAGGGAUGACGGCC